rnacentral:tRNA from 1 species
GCAGCGAUGUAUGAGUGGUUAAGGAGAUUGACUUGGAAUCAAUUGGGGUCUGCCCGCGUAGGUUCGAAUCCUGCUCGCUGCC